rnacentral:rRNA from 1 species
UAGAGUUUGAUCCUGGCUCAGAACGAACGCUGGCGGCAUGCCUAACACAUGCAAGUCGAACGGGAUCCUGGCUUCGGUCAGGUGAGAGUGGCGGACGGGUGAGUAACGCGUGGGAACCUGCCCAGUGGUGGGGGAUAACUGCGGGAAACUGCAGCUAAUACCGCAUGAGCCCGAGAGGGGAAAGAUUUAUCGCCAUUGGAGGGGCCCGCGUUCGAUUAGGUAGUUGGUGAGGUAAUGGCUCACCAAGCCGACGAUCGAUAGCUGGUCUGAGAGGAUGAUCAGCCACACUGGGACUGAGAUACGGCCCAGACUCCUACGGGAGGCAGCAGUGGGGAAUAUUGGACAAUGGGCGCAAGCCUGAUCCAGCCAUGCCGCGUGAGUGACGAAGGUCUUCGGAUUGUAAAGCUCUUUUGGCGGGGACGAUAAUGACGGUACCCGCAGAAUAAGCCCCGGCUAACUUCGUGCCAGCAGCCCCGGUCAA